AACGCUAGCUACAGGCUUAACACAUGCAAGUCGAGGGGCAGCAUUUUAGUUUGCUUGCAAACUGAAGAUGGCGACCGGCGCACGGGUGAGUAACACGUAUCCAACCUGCCGAUAACUCCGGAAUAGCCUUUCGAAAGAAAGAUUAAUACCGGAUAGCAUACGAAUAUCGCAUGAUAUUUUUAUUAAAGAAUCCCCGUUAUCGAUGGGGAUGCGUUCCAUUAGUUUGUUGGCGGGGUAACGGCCCACCAAGACUACGAUGGAUAGGGGUUCUGAGAGGAAGGUCCCCCACAUUGGAACUGAGACACGGUCCAAACUCCUACGGGAGGCAGCAGUGAGGAAUAUUGGUCAAUGGGCGAGAGCCUGAACCAGCCAAGUAGCGUGAAGGAUGAAGGCUCUAUGGGUCGUAAACUUCUUUUAUAUGGGAAUAAAGUUUUCCACGUGUGGAAUUUUGUAUGUACCAUAUGAAUAAGGAUCGGCUAACUCCGUGCCAGCAGCCGCGGUAAUACGGAGGAUCCGAGCGUUAUCCGGAUUUAUUGGGUUUAAAGGGAGCGUAGGUGGAUUGUUAAGUCAGUUGUGAAAGUUUGCGGCUCAACCGUAAAAUUGCAGUUGAAACUGGCAGUCUUGAGUACAGUAGAGGUGGGCGGAAUUCGUGGUGUAGCGGUGAAAUGCUUAGAUAUCACAAAGAACUCCGAUUGCGAAGGGCAGCUCAAUAGACUGUCACUGACAAUGAUGCUUGAAAGUGUGGGUAUCAAACAGGAUUUAGAUACCGUGGUAGUCCACACAGUAAACGAAUGAAUACUCGCUGUUUGCGAUAUAUAGUAAGCGGCCAAGCGAAAGCAUUAAGUAUUCCACCUGGGGAGUACGCCGGCAACGGUGAAACUCAAAGGAGUUGACGGGGGCCCGCACAAGCGGAGGAACAUGUGGUUUAAUUCGAUGAUACGCGAGGAACCUUACCCGGGCUUAAAUUGCAACAGAGUAUAUUGGAAACAGUAUAGCCGUAAGGCUGUUGUGAAGGUGCUGCAUGGUUGUCGUCAGCUCGUGCCGUGAGGUGUCGGCUUAAGUGCCAUAACGAGCGCAACCCUUAUCUUUAGUUACUAACAGGUCAUGCUGAGGACUCUAGAGAGACUGCCGUCGUAAGAUGUGAGGAAGGUGGGGAUGACGUCAAAUCAGCACGGCCCUUACGUCCGGGGCUACACACGUGUUACAAUGGGGGGUACAGAAGGCGGCUACCUGGUGACAGGAUGCUAAUCCCAAAAACCUCUCUCAGUUCGGAUCGAAGUCUGCAACCCGACUUCGUGAAGCUGGAUUCGCUAGUAAUCGCGCAUCAGCCAUGGCGCGGUGAAUACGUUCCCGGGCCUUGUACACACCGCCCGUCAAGCCAUGAAAGCCGGGGGUACAUGAAGUACGUAACCGCAAGGAGCGUCCUAGGGUAAAACUGGUAAAUG
rnacentral:rRNA from 1 species